rnacentral:rRNA from 1 species
UACGGAGGGUGCAAGCGUUGUCCGGAAUUAUUGGGCGUAAAGAGCUCGUAGGCGGUUAGUCGCGUCUGCUGUGAAAACUCGGGGCUUAACUCCGGGCCUGCAGUGGGUACGGGCUGACUAGAGUGCGGUAGGGGAGACUGGAAUUCCUGGUGUAGCGGUGAAAUGCGCAGAUAUCAGGAGGAACACCGGUGGCGAAGGCGGCCAACUGGACGAAUACUGACGCUGAGACUCGAAAGCGUGGGGAGCAAACAGG